GGACCUGUAGCUCAGUUGGAUAGAGCACGUGGCUACGAACCACGGAGUCGGGGGUUCAAGUCCCUCCUGGCCCG
rnacentral:tRNA from 1 species